UAAAAUCACUCGUUAGUUAGAUCGCGCGUAGCUCUGUUUUUGACGGAUCAGCGGAGUAGUGUUACUGAGAGUCAAGCGAGCGAAGGCAUGUGGGGGAUGCCUGGGCACACGGAGGCGAGGAAGGCCGUGGUAAGCUGCGAUAAGCCGGGGGGAGGAGCACAC
rnacentral:misc_RNA from 1 species